rnacentral:rRNA from 1 species
UACGAAGGGGGCUAGCGUUGUUCGGAAUCACUGGGCGUAAAGCGCACGUAGGCGGAUCUUUAAGUCAGGGGUGAAAUCCCGAGGCUCAACCUCGGAACUGCCUUUGAUACUGGGGAUCUCGAGUCCGGGAGAGGUGAGUGGAACUGCGAGUGUAGAGGUGAAAUUCGUAGAUAUUCGCAAGAACACCAGUGGCGAAAGCGGCUCACUGGCCCGGAACUGACGCUGGGGUGCGAAAGCGUGGGGAGCAAACAGG